AUUGAACGCUGGCGGCAGGCUUAACACAUGCAAGUCGAACGGUAACAGGGAGUAGCUUGCUACUUUGCUGACGAGUGGCGGACGGGUGAGUAAGGUAAGGGAAUUUGCCGAAUGGAGGGGGACAACAGUUGGAAACGGCUGCUAAUACCGCAUAACGUCGCGAGACCAAAGGGUGGGACUUCGGCCGACCUGCCAUUUGAUGAGCCCACUAUGAGAUUAGCUAGUUGGUGUGG
rnacentral:rRNA from 1 species